GCAGAGGUAGAACCCCAAAACCCCGCUGGUGCCUUCUCUCUGCAUUUCCACCGAUUUGGUGGCCGAAUAGGAAGGGAUUUGAGCGGGAAGAGUCGAAGAAAGUUUAUCGGUAUGACGUCGAAUUUAUGGCGCAAGCAAAAGUGGGCACAUAUCGGUAAGAAGUAUCCCGAUGUGAGUUGCAAAGAUGCUCCCGUUCCCCCCGCCCUCCCCGUCCCGACUUGUGACUAUGGUAAGCGAGCCGUGGUUCUUCAGUCGCUACACGAAGAUACUGCCGGUCGAGCUUACUACCUGUGCUCGGAUUAUCGUGAGUGGGAGAUGUGCUAUUUCUUCCAAUGGAUAGAUGGGCCCGAUAUGUAUGAUCAGAGGAUUCUGCAGGUGAAACGGUUUAGUCAGUAUCCGAAGCCAUUUGACAAGUUUGUUCGUUGGGUCCCCCCACCACCAAAUCCGCCAAAAUUGACGGAUAAAGAGAAGUGGCAAUUGAAGAGUAUACGUGUUGCGGAUCCUCCGUUGUGCAAUUGCGGAAAGCGAAGCGUACUUUGUGAACCUUCUGGGGGGUCGCCUUACUUUCGUUGCGAAGGGAUGACAAGUGUAAGAAAUGUGCAGGAGUCCUUGUUUACGAUAUGAAUGCGGAAGAGUAUUGUAUUAUGUAACAUGUAUAUCGAACUGUAAUGCAGCGCCAUGGUGUAACAUGUGGCUUCCGGGAUCCAUUGUACGGACCUGAUGGUCUAUGGAAAGAUGAAGAAAAAGAUGAAGUGAAGGGGAAAAGAGUUAUAGAGCCUUGUGCCCCAAGAAAGUGCCCUUGUGGUGUGAAUGUGAAUUACGGGAUAGUGCCAUCGGAACUUGGAGUGGGGUACUACUGCGGACAUGUGGUCGGCAAUGAUAUGAGAACGCGGAAAUGUUCGUGGGAGGAGUACCUCGAUAAAGGAGCGGUUGAUCAUGAGAUUGCAUGGCGGAGUAAGCGUCCUCCAAACGUGAUAUCAAGCUAUUUGGAGAACAGGAAGAAAGAAACUCGUGAUGACUACCGUGCUUUGUAUCCCCCCAUCAGAAGUACUACCAUGGCGGGUAAAGAUGUUUCGGCUACAGAGGUGGAAAUAGAGACAAUGAAGGCGCUUGUUGGUAAUUUACCCGUGGUUAUCCCGGACGACGAUGACGACGAGGUGUUAUAUGAUGGGCUAGACGAUUAGACCUAGCAGCACAAAUUGUCUUAUGUCACCUACUUAUGAACGUGAUAUGUAAUCAUUGUCGACGAGCAAUGAAUAUUUGUAAGUCGGACUUAA